rnacentral:rRNA from 1 species
UACGUAGGCAGCAAGCGUUGUUCGGAAUUACUGGGCGUAAAGAGUGUGUAGGCGGUGUUCUAAGUUUGGUGUGAAAUCUCCCGGCUCAACUGGGAGGGUGCGCCGAAAACUGGAAUGCUAGAGUAUGGGAGGGGUAAGCGGAAUUCCUGGUGUAGCGGUGAAAUGCGUAGAUAUCAGGAGGAACACCUGUGGUGUAGACAGCUUACUGGACCAUCACUGACGCUGAGACACGAAAGCGUGGGUAGCAAACAGG